GCAAUGAAAUCAAUUCUCCAGCCAGCUGGCGUUUUGACCGGCUUAAACUUUAUUUUGAAUGAGGAAAUUGUUCUAGCCUAUAACGUCGAUGGGGUUCAAGGGAAGAAGGCCUUAGGACCCACAAAGAAUUGCAGCUUUGCUAGAAUGUAUUCCGCCUGGCGAUGAGCCUCCCGAAAACACUGUGCGGAAGGCAAUGCAAUUGAUGAAGAAAAGGGUGUUUAAGAAGAAGUGUCUUGCCAAAAACCAGGAGUAGGCUAAGCAUCAUAUAAUUAAAAAUUAUUCGUUUUAAUGAAA